CUAUCGUUUCCGUGUCGCUGAAUAUCAGCGAUCGGGUUUGGUAGCCCGGGUA
rnacentral:ncRNA from 1 species